ACGAGGGCCCCAAGCGUUAUCCGGAUUUAUUGGGCGUAAAGCGUCCGUAGGUGGUUUAUCGCAUCUCCUGUUAAAUCCCGAGGCUCAACCUCGGGUCAGCGGGAGAGAUGGACAAACUAGAGACCGGAAGAGGCAAACGGAAUUGCUGGUGUAGGGGUUAAAUCCAUUAAUAUCAGCAAGAACACCAAAUGCGAAGGCAGUUUGCUAGGACGGUUCUGACACUCAGUGGACGAAAGCGUGGGGAGCGAAUGG
rnacentral:rRNA from 1 species